UAUGGGGCUAGGGUCCAAGCUACUCCGACUAGUACGAUUUAGCGUUUUCGUGCCGUCAUUUCCACUUCGAGAAAACAUCAUUUAUAAAGUAAAAUGCAGUUUUGUGACGCAUAGCCUACUUGGUCAAUCUAUCAAUAAAUGAGUUAUCUAGGUUCACGUUGAUAUGGACGAAAGGUUUGGGACGACAUGCUUUCGUGAGAUUUUAGCCAAUAUUGAUGGUGAAUAAAACAGGAAUUCGUCAAGUCGCAACGUACGAAGUGUACAUGUGUCAUGGCGUGACGAGUGGGGACCUUCGUGGCCAUGUUUUGGCAUGAUUUCGGAGAUUCAGACGGAAAUCUCAAAGACCUAUGGGUUGUCUCUCGGACGCUGUGGAGGAGGUUUGCCUACAGUUCUUCUUAUGCGGAGUGUACGGCAUUCCACCAUGACACGCAGAUGACGUACCCUGCCCUGACGAAGGAUACCUUCAGAAAAUUUGACAAUUUUCAUCGGUUUUGAAGAGUUUCCUCCUAUUUCUGGAUUGAAGAUGG